rnacentral:rRNA from 1 species
CUUGCUACAGGCUUAACACAUGCAAGUCGAGGGGCAGCAUUUCAGUUUGCUUGCAUUCUGGAGAUGGCGACCGGCGCACGGGUGAGUAACACGUAUCCCACCUGCCGAUAGCUCAGGGAUAGCCUUUCUAAAGAAAGAUUACUACCCGAUGGCAUACUUAGACCGCAUGGUCUUAUUAUUAAAGAAUUUCUGUUAUCGAUGGGGAUGCGUUCCAUUAGGCAGUUGGUGAGGUAACGGCUCACCAAACCUUCGAUGGAUAGGGGUUCUGAGAGGAAGGUCCCCCACAUUGGAACUGAGACACGGUCCAAACUCCUACGGGAGGCAGCAGUGAGGAAUAUUGGUCAAUGGGCGCAGGACUGAACCAGCCAAGUAGCGUGAAGGAUGACUGCCCUAUGGGUUGUAAACUUCUUUUAUAUGAGAAUAAAGUUUUCCACGUGUGGAAUUUUGUAUGUACCAUAUGAAUAAGGAUCGGCUAACUCCGUGCCAGCAGCCGCGGUAAUACGGAGGAUCCGAGCGUUAUCCGGAUUUAUUGGGUUUAAAGGGAGCGUAGGUGGACAGCUAAGUCAGUUGUGAAAGUUUGCGGCUCACCCGUAAAAUUGCAGUUGAUACUGGCUGUCUUGAGUACAGUAGAGGUGGGCGGAAUUCGUGGUGUAGCGGUGAAAUGCUUAGAUAUCACGAAGAACUCCGAUUAAGAAGGCAGCUCACUGGACUGCAACUGACACUGAUGCUAGAAAGUGUGGGUAUCAAACAGGAUUAGAUACCGUGGUAGUCCACACAGUAAACGAUGAAUACUCGUUGUUUGCGAUAUACAGUAAGCGGACAAGCGAAAGCAUUAAGUAUUCCACGUGGGGAGUACGCCGGCAACGGUGAAAAUCAAAGGAAUUGACGGGGGCCCGCACAAGCGGAGGAACAUGUGGUUUAAUUUGAUGAUACGCGAGGAACCUUACCCGGGAUUAACUUGCAUUUGAAUAAUCUGGAAACAGGUUAGCCGCAAGUCAAAUGUGAAGGUGCUGCAUGGUUGUCGUCAGUUCGUGCCGUGAGGUGUCGGCUUAAGUGCCAUAACGAGCGCAACCCUUAUCUUUAGUUAUUAACAGGUCAUGCUGAGGACUCUAGAGAGACUGCGGUCGUAAGAUGUGAGGAAGGUGGGGAUGACGUCAAAUCAGCACGGCCCUUACGUCCGGGGCUACACACGUGUUACAAUGGGGGGUACAGAAGGCAGCUACUUGGCGACAGGAUGCUAAUCCCAAAAGCCUCUCUCAGUUCGGAUCGAAGUCUGCAACCCGACUUCGUGAAGCUGGAUUCGCUAGUAAUCGCGCAUCAGCCAUGGCGCGGUGAAUACGUUCCCGGGCCUUGUACACACCGCCCGUCAAGCCAUGAAAGCCGGGGGUACCUGAAGUACGUAACCGCAAGGAGCGUCCUAGGGUAAAACUGGUAAUUGGGGCUA